rnacentral:sRNA from 1 species
GCUGGACACGGUGGCCCACGUCUGUAAUCCCAGUGGCUCAGGAGGCUGAGGCAGGAGGAUCACAAGUUCAAAACCAGCCUCAGCAAAAGCAAGGCACUAAGCAACUCAGUGAGACCCUGUCUCUA